ACACUGUAAACCCUAAUGCUGUAACUAAUUGAUUGAACUGAGUUGUAUUAACUUAAAUAAUUACAAUUAGUUUAUAUUAAUUAACCUUUAUGAGUAUUUAGAACUUUUUCUUAUUUAUGAGUUUGUAAAAAUUAAACCUUUCAAGUAAGAUGGAAAAUUUUGCUGGUUUAAUUUAAACAAAAUGUCUCUUUAAAGUUUUAUUAACUCAAAAUCUUUCAGCCUUGUGAUUUUGCGUAUGACGUCAUCCAGGUUCACGUCAACUGUCUUGCCCGCGCUUAUUCCUCGUUCGUUUUUUUCAAGAUGGCGGAUCGGCCUCGCUUCACACUACAAUUUCAAGUGAGAUAAUGGACUGGAAGUGCAAAUUGUGUAUAAACAUCUAUCGUUCCAGAGUCCACCUCCUCAGACACUACAGAGUAAAGCACAGCAUCUGCUCUAAAAUGCAGGCGAUUCUUCAUAUUUCUAACAUGGCUACGAAUGAAAUCAUUGAAGACCUCAGUGAUAUAUAUGUAUUAUCACAGCCAUUGAUCAGGAAAACGGUUAGUGAUGUUUUGCAGAAACAUGGCUACAAUGUCAGUGCGGUUACAAUGGAUGAACUGGUCAGUGCUGUCAUGGAUUGCAAUAUUCUGUUCAGUGUGACCUCUGAAGGUGCAGAGUUGUCUUCUUUCAAACGCAGAAAGACAUUCAUUGAGCACAACUAUCCAGUUGUAAUGCCAUUGCAAUAUGACUUGCAGCAGUAUAUUUCUGAUGUGGGUUUGUUUUAUAAAAUUCUCUUUUGUCCGAUUUAGCUGUUUGCAGAGUACCAACGUGUUACAAAUGAGAAUUUGCCCAACAAAUUCUAUGCACAACUGGACUACCUCCUACCUUGUUUGAUGACCAUUUUAAGGCAAAAAGCAUCCAAGACAGGCAAGACAGCAGAUACCCUGGCUAAUCUUUUGAAAGUUCAUGAUGAGCAGGAACUGCAUGAUGUAAAUUCACGACGGACUACCGUUAUCAGAGGUCUUCCAGUUUUGCUGCGUGACAAAGACAUAGGAUUUUUUAGGACCACCCUGAUUGAUAAUCCUGAAGUACUGACUGAGGAUGCUCCAGUGUCCCUGCUUACAGUUGUUCAUGAAAAUGCUGCUGCUCCAAUCCAUUACGAUCCAGUGAGGGUCUCAGUUGUCCUGGAGAAUGAAGUGGUCACCACCCAUAGCCAACUUCCAGAGGCCUUUCUUGUCUUGUUUGGAUUCAUGUAUGCUCUUCACUUAAAAUAUCCUAAAGGACUUGCCAAAACUUUUGAAUUUGUGCAAAAAGUUUUACUCGGCAUGGAUGACGGAAAACUGUCUCCUAGCGUGCAAACAUUAAAGAAUGAGUUGAUGUAGAGCUACUUUUUUUUUCUCGUUUAAUGAAGGCUGGCACUGGGGCAGUAACUUAAAAACAUGUCAGUACGUGUAGUUUAAACUAUACAGGAGUCACUUACCAGAAUGCACUAUUUUUAUUUCUUUUUAUGAAUGCCGCAAGACUAAGUUUUAUAUGACUUAAUGUAUGUUUUAAAAAUCAGGAUAUUUAAUUUUGUCAAACUAAAUCAUUUUUUUUUGAAGCUCAUGUUUAAACAAAGUUGGUCAUGUAAAAUUCUGUUAAAAAUAUUUUACAAAAUAAUUCUUCAAAAAUAUUUUUUUGUUACAAGUCAUACUGGGUUUUAUGCAUUACUUUUUCCUGAAUGUUUUUUUCCCCUGAGAAUUUUCACCCUUUUAAAGGGUUACUUUACAGGUGUCAUGUUGAUUUGUUAUAUCAAAUAGAACACCAUAGAAAGUAUUGUUAUUCUUUUUCAUUGUAUUAACAUUCUGGGCAUACUUUAUUCAUUUUAAAAUAGUGUUUAUUGUAAAUCUGUUACUGACAAACUGUUUUAAAGGUUUUGAGAAAUUUGUAUGUUUAUAGAAGGCAUGUUUACUGUAAUUAUUCAUGUUGGUAUUACCUGUUGGACAUUUUUUGUUUAAAAAUAAAUGUUAAAAAUGGUA